UACGGAGGGUGCGAGCGUUAAUCGGAAUUACUGGGCGUAAAGCGCGCGUAGGCGGUUUGUUAAGUCGGAUGUGAAAGCCCCGGGCUCAACCUGGGAAUUGCAUUCGAUACUGGCCAACUAGAGUGCGAGAGAGGGAGGUAGAAUUCCACGUGUAGCGGUGAAAUGCGUAGAUAUGUGGAGGAAUACCGGUGGCGAAGGCGGCCUCCUGGCUCGACACUGACGCUGAGGUACGAAAGUGUGGGGAGCAAACAGG
rnacentral:misc_RNA from 1 species